CCGCGAUGCUACAGAACCUGUCUGGGGAAUUGCUCGGCUUGAGAGCUGAUGAAGGUCGUGACAAGCUGCGAUAAGCUGCGGGGAGAGGCAUGAAUCUCUUGGAUCCGCAGAUUGCCGAAUAGGACCUCCUGUCGCUUUGCGACAUUCCCAUUAGGGAAAGGGAACCGCCCGAAUUGAAGCAUCUUAGUAGGGCGAGGAAAAGAAAUCAAUCGAGAUUCCGUUAGUAGUGGCGAAUGAACACGGAAUAGGACAAACCGAAUCCCCCUUGGAAACUUGGGGGAGAUGUGGGGUUUGGGCCGUCUUUGUCUAAAUUCAUGAAGCAGAAGUCGCCUGGAAUGGCGCACCAUAGAGGGUGAAAGUCCCGUAUGCGUAGUGAACAUGACCAUGUGACGUGCCCAGAGUACCGUGCGUCGGAUAUCGCGCGGGAAUAUGGGAGGCAGAUACUUCCAAUCCUAAAUACGACUCAAGACCGAUAGUGGACCAAGUAGCGUGAGCGAACGCUGAAAAGUAUCCUUUACGGGAUGUUAAAAGACCNUGAAACCAGNUAGGAACAGACUGAUAUGGCGUGAAAGCGAUGAAAUGAGCAGCGUCAUAUCGUGCGUUUCGAAUAAUGCCCCUGGGAGUCUUGAUCACUGGCGAGGUUAAGNNGUNNANCNNCGNAGCCGGAGGGAAACCGACANGUCCGCAGCCUUAGGGCGAGGGACGAAGUGUGCUCGCUUGGAGUCAGUGGUGGAGGACCUGAAGCCCGUCGAUCUAUNCCUGGCCAGAUUGAAGCCCGNUGAAAGNUGGGUGGAGGAUCGAACCGUUGCUGAUNUGCAAAUCGCUCGGAGGAGCUGGGUAUAGGGGUGAAAGUCCAAUCGAGAUGGGCAAUAGCAGGUUCCGCGCGAGACUACUCGUAGGUAGAUCUCUGUNNAGAUGGAUNGUGNUGUAGAGCACUGAUUGGGUAUUUAGGGGGAGCNAUCCCUCGGUACGCUGNCAAACUCCGAAGNUGCNAUCGUCGUAGAAACAGGGAGUGAGCCACGGUGGGUAAGCUACCGUGACGAAAGGUGAAGAAACCAGCAUGAUGUUAAGGUCCCAAAGUGUCAACUAAGUGUUAAUCAGAAACCGUGUCCGUGGUCGAAGACAACCAGAAGGUGGGCUUAGAAGCAGCCAUCCUUGAAAGAGUUCGUAACAGAUCACUGGUCAAGCUUGCGGGCCGGGAAAAGGGACGGGGCUAAAGUUGNCCACCGAUACAUCAUCCCUCCGAAAGGAGAUGGGGUAGCGCGGCGACGUGCUCGGAUAGAAGNNAGGCUGUGAGGUCUNNUGGACCGUGUACGUAUGAGAAUCCAGGGAAGAGUAGCAGCAUAGUGCGGUGAGAAUCCGCACCACCGNAGGGGCUAGGGUUCCUCGGCAAUGAUNAUCAGCCGAGGGUUAGCCGGUCCUAAGGACAUCCUUAACCGAGAUGUUCGAACAGGGAAUUGCGUUUAUAUUCGUAAGCCUUCAUACAAUAAUGGUGACGGCUUGGGNUAGUNUGUGCGCNNNNGUCAGNGCGUNGAAGCNUCCAUAACCGAUCGGAGAAUCGUCAUGAUGAGAAGAUUGGGAAGNNGUGANCNAAAGACAGAUNAUGCCNAGGUCCCGUGAAAANCCGUAUGAAUGACCGUACCGAGAACUGACACAGGUGCCCCUGGGUGAGNAGCCUAAGGUGUGACGGAAUAAGUACCGCGAAGGAACUCGGCAAAAUUGCUCCGUAACUUCGGGAGAAGGAGUGCCAGCUCUGAAGAGAGCUGGUCGCAGUGACCAGGGGACUCCGACUGUUUAAUAAAAACAUAGGCGACUGCUAGACCGAAAGGUUGCGUAUAGUCGCUGAAUCCUGCUCAGUGCAGGUAUCUGAAAUNGGGUUUCAACCUNACGAAGGACCUGUAAACAGCGGGGGUAACUAUGACCCUCUUAAGGUAGCGUAAUACCUUGUCGCUUAAUUGGCGACUUGCAUGAAUGGCUCAACGAGAGUCCCACUGUCUCCGCGGUACAUCCGGCGAAAUUGACAUUACUGGCGCACAGUCCAGUACCCACAACCUGCAAGCGAAGACCCCAUAGAGCUUUACUGCAGCCUGGCGUUGUAUGAUCGCACUUCAUGUGCUGAGUAGACGGGAGCUAUUGAUCCCUCGGGCGCCAGCCCGAGGAGUAGGCACACAUAGAGACACCGUCCUUGAGGUGUAAUCAUACUCACUCUUCUAGAGAACACCGCUUGGUGGGCAGUUUGGGUGGGGCGCCACGCGCUCGAAAACAUAACAAGCGUGCCCAAAGGUCAGCUUAGGUGGUUCAGUCUCCACCGUAAACCGUAAGGGGAAAAGCUGGCUUGACGUGGAUCGGACCAA
rfam:Euryarchaeota archaeon TMED85 96414, whole genome shotgun sequence.